AUUGAACGCUGGCGGCAUGCUUUACACAUGCAAGUCGAACGGUAACAGCACUUCGGUGGCUGACGAGUGGCGAACGGGUGCGUAAUACAUCGGAACGUGCCUAGUAGUGGGGGAUAACUACUCGAAAGAGUAGCUAAUACCGCAUGAGAUCUAAGGAUGAAAGCAGGGGACCUUCGGGCCUUGCGCUACUAGAGCGGCUGAUGGCAGAUUAGGUAGUUGGUGGGGUAAAAGCUUACCAAGCCGACGAUCUAUAGCUGGUCUGAGAGGACGACCCGCCACACUGGGACUGAGACACGGCCCAGACUCCUACGGGAGGCAGCAGUAGGGAAUUUUGGACAAUGGGCGCAAGCCUGAUCCAGCAAUGCCGCGUGCAUGAUGAAGGCCUUCGGGUUGUAAACUGCUUUUGUACGGAACGAAAAGCCCUCUUCUAAUACAGGAGGGUCAUGACGGUACCGUAAGAAUAAGCACCGGCUAACUACGUG
rnacentral:rRNA from 1 species